AGUGAACGCUGGCGGUAGGCCUAACACAUGCAAGUCGAACGGCAGCACAGUAAGAGCUUGCUCUUACGGGUGGCGAGUGGCGGACGGGUGAGGAAUACAUCGGAAUCUACUUUUUCGUGGGGGAUAACGUAGGGAAACUUACGCUAAUACCGCAUACGACCUACGGGUGAAAGCAGGGGAUCUUCGGACCUUGCGCGAUUGAAUGAGCCGAUGUCGGAUUAGCUAGUUGGCGGGGUAAAGGCCCACCAAGGCGACGAUCCGUAGCUGGUCUGAGAGGAUGAUCAGCCACACUGGAACUGAGACACGGUCCAGACUCCUACGGGAGGCAGCAGUGGGGAAUAUUGGACAAUGGGCGCAAGCCUGAUCCAGCCAUACCGCGUGGGUGAAGAAGGCCUUCGGGUCGUAAAGCCCUUUUGUUGGGAAAGAAAAGCAGCAGGUUAAUACCCCGCUGUUCUGACGGUACCCAAAGAAUAAGCACCGGCUAACUUCGU
rnacentral:rRNA from 1 species